rnacentral:lncRNA from 1 species
GGCAUAAAGGUAGACAAGGAAGUGAUGCCUCUGCCAUGAACCAACGGUGAGAGCACCAACCAGGGGCUGGAUGAGCCCUCUAAAUGCAAUACCUAUUGCACAAAGGAUGGAGCUGACUUUACCAAGUAGCAUGGUGUCCUGGCGAUGGGGAACCCUCCCUCUGAACCCUUGCCAUCAGAAAUAUGUCAGUGUUGAGGCCUCACUGAUGGAGAUCUUGACGUGCAGAACUGUCAGUAUGUAACUAAACAAGGCUUUGGAUGGUGUCUACAUGGCUCUGAGUGGCCAUCCCAUCUACCUUGAACAACCUUGCUGAAGCCCAACAUGGUCACACUCUUACUCAGAAAUUUUCCAGUGAAGAAAUUGCCACAGCAACUGUUGUGAGACUCAUUGCACUGUACCCUUUAUGGUCCAUGGUAUCAAAUUCCUGUCUGAAGGGCACAUUGAGGAAGAGGUCUCCAUCAACCUCCAUGCUAUCAACAAGUGCCCCCUGCUGAAGUAAUUGGCCUUGACUUUCUCCUAUGGCUGAGUCCUGCAGGUCUUUGUACUAAAGGCUGGAGGCAGGAAGGAGACCCUGAAGGCUGGCCAAGAGGAGUACAGGAAGGAGCCCUAGCCAAAUGCCCCUCUUGUCAAGGAAAGCACACCCUAAGUGGUAAGUCCUGCCGAUAGCCAGUGAGCCUUCAUCUCUGAGACCAAGUCUACUGA